AUGGCGUACAGCUCGUGCAGGUCCCAGUCUACGAAUGCCCGGUGCUGGCAACACCGCCUGCCUUCGUCCACGACGUGUCCCCGGGCCUGGCAUGCCUGGUGCGGUGCUUCAUCAAAUUCGUCUUCGACCGUCUACGCAUGCCCGGUGCUGGCAACACCGACGCGUGCCUUCGUCUACGACGUGUCCCCGGGUUUGGCAACCCCGGCGCGACGCCUCGUCAACACCGUCUUCUCCACGGCGACUUCCUCGACACCGGCCACCCCGACUCGACAUCGACCACGGCAUUCUUCGCACGGCUACCUCGUCCACGGCUCCACCACCCACACUCUUCGCUACGUUGACAAACGGCACAAAGGGCUACCGCCUGCUUGA
rnacentral:rRNA from 1 species